rnacentral:rRNA from 1 species
AGUGAACGCUGGCGGUAGGCCUAACACAUGCAAGUCGAACGGCAGCACAGUAAGAGCUUGCUCUUACGGGUGGCGAGUGGCGGACGGGUGAGGAAUACAUCGGAAUCUACUUUUUCGUGGGGGAUAACGUAGGGAAACUUACGCUAAUACCGCAUACGACCUACGGGUGAAAGCAGGGGAUAUUCGGACCUUGCGCGAUUGAAUGAGCCGAUGUCGGAUUAGCUAGUUGGCGGGGUAAAGGCCCACCAAGGCGACGAUCCGUAGCUGGUCUGAGAGGAGGAUAGGCCACACGAGAACGGAGACACGGUCCAGAGGCCUGCGAGAGGCAGCAGUGGGGAAUAGUGGGCAAUGGGCGCAAGCCUGACCCAGCCAGACCGCGUGUGUGAAGAAGGCGUUCGGGUUGUGAAGCCCUUUUUUUGGGAAAGAAACGCUGCAGGUUAAGACCCCGCUGUUCUGACGGUACCCAAAGAAUAAGCACCGGCUAACUACGUG